GACGAACGCUGGCGGCGUGCUUAACACAUGCAAGUCGAACGGAAAGGCCCUGCUUUUGUGGGGUGCUCGAGUGGCGAACAGGUGAGUAACACGUGAGUAACCUGCCCUUGACUUUGGGAUAACUUCAGGAAACUGGGGCUAAUACCGGAUAGGAGCUCCUGCUGCAUGGUGGGGGUUGGAAAGUUUCGGCGGUUGGGGAUGGACUCGCGGCUUAUCAGCUUGUUGGUGGGGUAGUGACUUACCAAGGCUUUGACGGGUAGCCGGCCUGAGAGGGUGACCGGCCACAUUGGGACUGAGAUACGGCCCAGACUCCUACGGGAGGCAGCAGUGGGGAAUAUUGCACAAUGGGCGGAAGCCUGAUGCAGCAACGCCGCGUGCGGGAUGACGGCCUUCGGGUUGUAAACCGCUUUCGCCUGUGACGAAGCGUGAGUGACGGUAAUGGGUAAAGAAGCACCGGCUAACUACGUG
rnacentral:rRNA from 1 species